rnacentral:rRNA from 1 species
UACGUAGGGGUGCAAGCGUUAAUCGGAAUUACUGGGCGUAAAGCGCACGUAGGCGGCUUUGUAAGUUAGAGGUGAAAGCCCGGGGCUCAACCCCCGGAAUUGCCUUUAAGACUGCAUCGCUUGAAUCCAGGAGAGGUGAGUGGAAUUCCGAGUGUAGAGGUGAAAUUCGUAGAUAUUCGGAAGAACACCAGUGGCGAAGGCGGCUCACUGGACUGGUAUUGACGCUGAGGUGCGAAAGCGUGGGGAGCAAACAGG